UCUACUUCUUGCUGCCCGCUUUGAAGAUCAGCGCCAACCCGGCACCGAUGGCCAUGGCUGACCCGGCAAUCAGGGCCGCUCGCUUGUUUAUCGUUAAGCUGCAACGGAAACGCUCAAGUUUAUAGGCAGUUGGCUCGAGGAGCUCUGGGACCAAUUGAACCGCGAUAACAGAACACGUGGUGGUGGUAACAGGUAGUAAAGGAAUGUAACGCAGAAACGAGAUUAAACGAUCGCGGUAUACUACUACUACUACUACUACUACAACUUCUACCGCAGUUUAGAAUCGCCCCUAGAGAAUGCUGGUACGAACAGCCAUUGCGGAUGUAGACGAUGAAUGCAAUGCGCGUUCGAGAUUGCUCACACUCCUAAUCGUCACUUAGCACAUGUAACUGAUAAAGAGGCGCGUGCUGUAAAUUAUUGUGCAGCAAAAAAUAAACUAUAUUUAAAAUAUAGUAUUUUUGGGGGGGGGGACUAAGCACCACCGCCACGUGAUUCCUAUCAUCAGAGCUCGACGACGGUGAAGGAUCGACAGAAAUUGGCAUUCCGGAGUGAAAUGGAAAAACAUAAAAGCUAAUAAAGAACUAAAACAGAGGGACGGACCUGCUUCCACCGUCCUGAUCCUUU